rnacentral:tRNA from 1 species
GCAGGUGUAGCACAAUGGUUAGUGUAGAAGAUUUCCAAUCUUUUGAUGAGAGUUCAAUUCUCUCUACCUGCUC